ACCAUUUUCUCAUCAAAAGGCAGGAAGAGAUAAAGGAGGGCUGGGAUCCAAAUAUGAAAAAUUUGAUCAGAGUAUAGGAUCAAGACCAGAUGACCCCUCAUCUCUCUGUGCUCCCAAGACUGGGGUAUUGCAAGACAAAAUGGACAAACUUGAUUCAGUCCAGUUGGUAAAGAAUGACAGAGGAGAUAAUAUCCUUAUCUACUUCAUGUCUGAUGGAACAGUGUUUAGAGUACUUGAAGCAG
rnacentral:lncRNA from 1 species